GGACCUAAGCCGAGGCCGAAAGGCGUAGGUGAUGGACAACAGGUUGAUAUUCCUGUACCACCAAUAACCGUUUGAGAAAUGGGAUGACACAGUAGGAUAAGCUAACCGCACUGUUGGUUAUGUGCGGGCAAGUAUUGAGGCAGUUCCGAUAGGCAAAUCCGUCGGAAUAAUGCUGGGGUACGAUGCGGAGCGAAAUUAAGUAGCGAAGUAGCUGAUUUCACACUGUCGAGAAAAGUCUCUAUCGAGGUUAAAGGUGCCUGUACCGCAAACCGACACAGGUGGGUGAGGAGAGUAUCCUAAGGCCAGCGAGAGAACUGUUGUUAAGGAACUCGGCAAAAUGACCCCGUAACUUAGGGAGAAGGGGUGCCUUCGAAAGAAGGCCGCAGAGAAUAGGCCCAAGCGACUGUUUACCAAAAACAUAGGUUUCUGCUAAGUCGCAAGACGAUGUAUAGGAGCUGACGCCUGCCCGGUGCUGGAAGGUUAAGGGGAUCUGUUAGAGCAAUCGAAGCAGUGAACUUAAGCCCCAGUAAACGGCGGCCGUAACUAUAACGGUCCUAAGGUAGCGAAAUUCCUUGUCGGGUAAGUUCCGACCCGCACGAAAGGCGUAACGAUUUGGGCACUGUCUCAACAACAGACUCGGUGAAAUUGUAAUACCGGUGAAGAUGCCGGUUACCUGCGACAGGACGGAAAGACCCCAUGGAGCUUUACUGUAGCUUGACAUUGAGUCUCGGUGCUACAUGUACAGGAUAGGUGGGAGACUAUGAAGCAUGGACGUCAGUCUGUGUGGAGUCAUCCUUGGGAUACCACCCUUGUAGUACUGGGAUUCUAACCAGAGGCCAUGAAUCUGGUCUUGGGACACUGUCAGGUGGACAGUUUGACUGGGGCGGUCGCCUCCCAAAAAGUAACGGAGGCGCUCAAAGGUUCUCUCAGUACGGUCGGAAAUCGUACGAAGAGUGUAAAGGCAAAAGAGAGCUUGAUUGCAAGACAUACAGGUCGAGCAAGGACGAAAGUCGGACUUAGUGAUCCGGUGGUUCCGCAUGGAAGGGCCAUCGCUCAACGGAUAAAAGCUACCCUGGGGAUAACAGGCUGAUCUCCCCCAA
rnacentral:rRNA from 1 species